rnacentral:lncRNA from 1 species
UCCUACCAAUUUAAAUGCUUCUCAAAAUCUCUCUCACAUCCCACUUCUUUACAAAGUCUUUCAAUGCUCAUUUUCGUAGCUAACAAAAUUGAGUCUCAGAGAGUAUAUGACAAUGACUCCACUGAUUAACAGCAGAGCCAGUACCACAGAGUUAUUUCACCUCUGUAGCCAUUACUUUCUGCAUAGCAAAGGUAGGAGUUUAAUGUGAAAAUUUCUCAGGUCUCCCUGGCUCUAACAGCUAUAGAUGCAAGUGGGAUGGCUCUGCGGUGAGAAACUGGGCAGGUCACUAUGGGGGAACAGAGCAGUUCAACUUUCAUCUUAUUCACAUAUUGUCAUACCAAGUAAAAUUUUGUGUGAACCAAAAUUUCAAGAGCUUCAGAAAAGGAGCUUGAACACCAAGGAUUUAGCCUAGCCUCAUCUUAUGGAUUAGAAAUAUAAGGACCUUUCUUACUCAACAUGUCCAAUUCUGGGAAGUGAGAUGAAAGCCUUAAUUGAGGGGUUGAUUUGAGUCAGUACAGAGAACAAUGGGCUUCUCACAAAAG